rnacentral:misc_RNA from 1 species
AACAUCGCGCACCUGCGGGAACCUGCGGAGGGAUCAUUACCGAAGUUACUCUUCAUACCCUUAUGUGAACCCUACCCCUCGCCGCGCGGUUGCCUCGGCGUGGAGGUCGGGGGCGGGGCCCCGGCCCCGCCUUCCCGGCCCCCGCCGGCCGCGCCUAACUCUUCUUCUGCAAAGCGGACUGCACGUUUCUGAUUACAACUUGAAAAAACAAGUCAAAACUUUCAGCAACGGAUCUCAGAU